CCUACGGGGGCAGCAGUAAGGAAUAUUGGACAAUGGUCGCAAGACUGAUCCAGCCAUGCCGCGUGCAGGAUGACAGCCCUAUGGGUCGUAAACUGCUUUUGUGCGAGAAAAAACCCCUCUACGUGUAGAGGGCUGAUUGUAUCGUAAGAAUAAGGAUCGGCUAACUCCGUGCCAGCAGCCGCGGUAAUACGGAGGAUCCAAGCGUUAUCCGGAUUCAUUGGGUUUAAAGGGUGCGUAGGCGGAAUGAUAAGUCAGUGGUGAAAGCCUGCAGCUUAACUGCAGAACUGCCAUUGAUACUGUCAAUCUUGAGUACAUUUGAUGUGGGCGGAAUGUGUCAUGUAGCGGUGAAAUGCUUAGAUAUGACACAGAACACCGAUUGCGAAGGCAGCUCACAAAACUGUAACUGACGCUGGAGCGACGAACGACGUAGGUAGUACAACAGAGUAGUAUACCUACGUAGUCGACGCUCGUAACUAAUAGUAUUACUACGUAUGUUGUCGAUACACUAGUAGCGUCGUA
rnacentral:rRNA from 1 species